CCGCGGUAAUACGGAGGGUGCGAGCGUUAAUCGGAAUUACUGGGCGUAAAGCGCAUGCAGGUGGUUUGUUAAGUCAGAUGUGAAAGCCCGGGGCUCAACCUCGGAAGGUCAUUUGAAACUGACAAACUGGAGUACUGUAGAGGGGGGUAGAAUUUCAGGUGUAGCGGUGAAAUGCGUAGAGAUCUGAAGGAAUACCAGUGGCGAAGGCGGCCCCCUGGACAGAUACUGACACUCAGAUGCGAAAGCGUGGGGAGCAAACAGGAUUAGAUACCCUGGUAGUCCACGCCGU
rnacentral:rRNA from 1 species